AAGGAUCAUUGUCGAACCUGC
rnacentral:rRNA from 6 species